AGCAGCCGCGGUAAUUCCAGCUCCAAUAGCGUAUAUUAAAGUUGUUGCAGUUAAAAAGCUCGUAGUUGAAUUUCGAGAUCAGUACGCUGGUCGUGCCUUCGGUAUGCACUGGUGUCACUGGUUUCUCCCUUCUGAAGAACCGUCAUGUCAUUAAGUUGGUGUGGCGGGGAAUCAGGACUGUUACUUUGAAAAAUUAGAGUGUUUAAAGCAGGCUCGCGCUUGAAUACAUUAGCAUGGAAUAAUGAAAUAGGACGUUUGACCCUAUUUUGUUGGUUUCUAGGAUCGACGUAAUGAUUAAUAGGGAUAGUUGGGGGCAUUAGUAUUCAAUUGUCAGAGGUGAAAUUCUUGGAUUUAUUGAAGACUAACUACUGCGAAAGCAUUUGCCAAGGAUGUUUUCAUUAAUCAAGAACGAAAGUUAGGGGAUCGAAGACGAUCAGAUACCGUCGUAGUCUUAACCAUAAACUAUGCCGACUAGGGAUCGGAUGAUGUUAAUUUUUAAUGACUCAUUC
rnacentral:rRNA from 1 species